AACUUCAACAUUAGCUAAAUUUAGGUUAUGUGAAUUCUAUACUAUCAUCCAAUAUAGCUGUUUUUUUAUUUCACACGAAACGAUGAAACCACUAGAUCGAAAAUUUGUCGCGUGAGACGAUUCUACAACGACGAACACAAAUUUCUCGGGCAUAGCGAAUGCAAUUUGCUUCGGCGUCUGAUUCCACGUAAUCUCAAUUGUUUCGAGCGGCGUACAUAAUUCAUUCAACAAUGUCUACAAAACGGUGUCACUUCGUCGAUGACGGAGUUAUUGUUCGCAGGAUAAUAGAUGCCCUACGCUUUUUCCAAAUCCCGGAAAAUAAUUAAGGACUUCGAUGAGAUAGGAAAAUAAUGGGAACCAAAUGAUAUUGAAGUCUUUGAGAAAACUUUUGGUACAUCAAAAAUUAAAAAAAAUGAUAUGAUUAAGAGAGUGAGAUGUGAUUAAUGACUCUUAUGAGUCAUUAAGUGAUCAAAGUAUGAGAAAAUCCUGAGGACAAGCACAUAAAUGCAUGCAUCCAAUAUAUAUUAUCUUUCACAUGAUAUUAAAUAUUAAAUUAAAAACAGACAAAUUUUUCAGAAUGUUUGUCAUCUCUCAUUAGCUCGUAAUGAGAUACUUUUGAUUUAUUUAAUGCAUGUCCUCUAACUGUCACCUGAUAGCAUAGGGGAAAAAUAUAUAGGUGGAAAUAUGUUUUACAAUAAUACCUAAAUGAUACUCGACGUUAUCGCGUCCGGCCAAUGAUGAUGCAUCACCGGGUAUUAUACUUCUUCUCAUUAGCAUUAAAACAAACGUUUAUUUUAUGGCUUCCAUCUCGUUUUUUACCAGCAAAUAUUUACUAGCUUGCGGAAUGUUCAUUGGUGAAGAAUCGUCCAUUUCCAGGCUUCAGCAAAUUUUUAAAUCCGAACCAUUCUUCUGUUUUUUUUAAAUUUUCUUUUUACUUUUAUUAUGUAUUGUUUGUUUUCAAGAAAAUGUGAUUUUUUUUUAAA